CUACCACAUUGUCUACUCCUGGAAUGUGAAUGGCUGAAAUGUCAUCCAGAUGACUUUGAGCCCAGGACAUAAUCCGUGAGCAAAGGAAAUUCAAUUUUUUUACUCUUGUACUGCUUGUUUGUUCAGGUAGGAGACUGUAGUCUGAUUGUCCGACUGGAUUUUUACAGCUUUCCCUACAAUGAAAUCCUUGAACUGCUGAAGAGGGUAGAGUACUGCUAACAACUCCUUGAAAUUUGAAGAUUCCUUUGUUUCCUUUUUCGACCAAACACCUUG